ACCCGGAUAGCUCUGUCGGUAGAGAAUCAGACUUUUAAUCUGAGGGUCCAGGGUUCAAGUCCCUGUUUGGGCA
rnacentral:tRNA from 1 species